AUUGAACGCUGGCGGCAUGCCUUACACAUGCAAGUCGAACGGUAACGGGCCUUCGGGUGCCGACGAGUGGCGAACGGGUGAGUAAUAUAUCGGAACGUACCUUUCAGUGGGGGAUAACGUAGCGAAAGUUACGCUAAUACCGCAUAUUCUGUGCGCAGGAAAGCAGGGGACCUUCGGGCCUUGCGCUGAUUGAGCGGUCGAUAGCAGAUUAGCUAGUUGGUGAGGUAAAGGCUCACCAAGGCGACGAUCUGUAGCGGGUCUGAGAGGAUGAUCCGCCACACUGGAACGGAGACACGGUCCAGACUCCUACGGGAGGCAGCAGUGGGGAAUUUUGGACAAUGGGGGCAACCCUGAUCCAGCCAUGCCGCGUGAGUGAAGAAGGCCUUCGGGUUGUAAAGCUCUUUCGGCCGGGAAGAAAUCGUACGGGCUAAUACCCUGUGCGGAUGACGGUACCGGCAUAAGAAGCACCGGCUAACUACGUGCCAGCCGCCGCCGUAAUAC
rnacentral:rRNA from 1 species